rnacentral:rRNA from 1 species
CCUACGGUGCGCUGCAGUGAGGAAUAUUGGUCAAUGGACGGAAGUCUGAACCAGCCAUGCCGCGUGCAGGAUGACGGCUCUAUGAGUUGUAAACUGCUUUUGUACGAGGGUAAACGCAGAUACGCGUAUCUGUCUGAAAGUAUCGUACGAAUAAGGAUCGGCUAACUCCGUGCCAGCAGCCGCGGUAAUACGGAGGAUUCAAGCGUUAUCCGGAUUUAUUGGGUUUAAAGGGUGCGUAGGCGGUCGGAUAAGUUAGAGGUGAAAUCCCGAGGCUCAACUUCGGAAUUGCCUCUGAUACUGUUCGGCUAGAGAGUAGUUGCGGUAGGCGGAAUGUAUGGUGUAGCGGUGAAAUGCUUAGAGAUCAUACAGAACACCGAUUGCGAAGGCAGCUUACCAAGCUACUUCUGACGUUGAGGCACGAAAGCGUGGGGAGCAAACAGGAUUAGAUACUCCGGUAGUC